rnacentral:lncRNA from 1 species
UCCAUCUACCUCCAAAUUACAGGGUUUGCGUCUCAGUUUUCAGGCCAGCAGAGCCCAAUAGAUUACAGCAGAGCAGUUUCCAACCUGUCAGUGUGGGGACCAUGGGAUUCCCUUCUUCCUCAGACAGGGACUGCACCCAUCAGCCAAAAGCAGAUACUGAAUAAUACAUUGCAUCUGCUGAUCCAUCUCCAUGAAGCAAAGGAAAAAUCAUCUGAAGACAUCUUUGGGUACUGUGAGGCAUCUCAACUAUGAUAGCCAAACAAAUCAUCCCACCCCACUGCUGAUUUCCUCUUACCAGAGGUGAGUAGGCUGAGGAUCCCAUUAUACCUCUACUUCAUAAAAGACAGAAGUGUGAUGGUCCAGCUGACAGCUGACUCCUGACACUAUUCUCCAACCAGCAGAGCGGCAGGGAACCAGAGCUGUAUAAACUGACUCAGAGCUCCACCUCCCACUGAUUUCAACAGCACAAAUUAUGCACUUGUUCUCAGCCAAAUGAAGGUUUCUUCUACUGCUGUAGUGAUUUAGGGGAAAGAAGGACACAGGUCAGACAUUUAUUUUGGGAUUAGCCUGAGAUAAAACAGCUCUUCAUCACUGUGAGUUUUGAAAAACACACACGGGAGGAUAUGGUGGGGCACUUGUAACCUUCACCAACUGCAGGACGCUUGAGAGUGCAUUGCAGCUAUUCUCAUCUAAGGAAGAGUUCCUCUCCCCUUGUUUUUGUUACAUAAGGGAUGUCAUUGGGUAAAAACAGAACCAG